CAGAGAGAGGAGGCGGGGCUGUUCCUCCGCCGCUCCCGACACAAGCGCCGAUGCAGGGUUUAAGCUGCUUCCUAGUGCUCAGGGCUGAGCAGUUUGCUCCAGAGCCGCGUGUCUGUGCUGUAGAUGCAAAUACCCUGCGAUGGCUCUUCCUUGUGCCCUGUCAGUGCAGCACCGAGCUUCUCCAGCGCUGCUCUGGAGCGGGGGUCUAGUGCUGGAUUCUCUCGUGCUGUUAACUUCACAGACUGAGGCACAGGGACUGUCGAGCCAGUUGUAACAGGCGCUGCUGAACGUUAGAAGCAGUGACUGUUGACUGGGCAAGUUUCUUGCGGAUAACUUGAGCCUUAAAGCUCAUUUUGAAAUCAGCAUCUUAAUGUCCAUAGAAGCGUAAGGGACCUGGACAGUCCCCCGGCUUAUCUAGACCUAUAUUCCUAUAGAAUUGGUCAAAUCAAAGGUGAGGAAACAACACAAAAAGCAGCUGGAGUUGCCCGCAGUUUGGUGGUGGUGAGAAUAAAUUGACCAAAUAUUCUUUGUCUAAUACUAUAAUGUUGUCAUGUGAUAAUUGGUAUUUCCUCUUUUUAGGGCAGAAUGGUGUCUUGAAGUAUAUAUGCAGAGUCUUGACUUCAGUAUUUCAGAGGAGUGAGAUGUCGAUAUGAGUGGAAAGCAGCUUCCUUGCUUCCUCCCCCCCCAACCAAAAUAUCAUGGAAGUGGAAUGACUUUCCUGCAGUACGGAAAGUACCGCUCUAGAAAAUCUUUUUGGGUGUCCAUAUUACAAGCCUGGUGGUCUGCAAUAGAAGAGCAUCAUGAAACAGCCAAAUGAGUCUGAGAAUUAGCCUCUCUUUUGUGAGCACUACCAAAUGUGUAAAGAAUGAGCAGACACUUAAGUAUGAGAUGGAUACUGUUUAGUGCAUAAAUGUUAAAAUUUUGAUAUUCUACUCCUUGUAUUUCAAAUAACUUGCAUACUAGAAACCUACUGAUCAUAAUAGAAGAUACCCUUUAUAUACUAAAGUAGUGCAAAUAAAGCUUCAGUGUAACUAGAACAUA